rnacentral:rRNA from 1 species
GAAUCAACGCUGGCGGCGUGCCUAACACGUGCAAGUCGAACGCGAAAGCCCCGCAAGGGGUAAGUAGAGUGGCAAACGGGUGAGUAACACGUGGGUGACCUGCCUUCGAGUGGGGGAUAACGUCCCGAAAGGGACGCUAAUACCGCAUGACAUCCUGCUCUUGGAAGAGCGGAGAUCAAAGCCUGGGAUCGCAAGACCUGGCGCUUGAAGAGGGGCCCGCGCCUGAUUAGCUAGUUGGUGGGGUAACGGCCUACCAAGGCGACGAUCAGUAUCCGGCCUGAGAGGGCGGACGGACACACUGGGACUGAGACACGGCCCAGACUCCUACGGGAGGCAGCAGUGGGGAAUUGUUCGCAAUGGGCGCAAGCCUGACGACGCAACGCCGCGUGGAGGACGAAGAUCUUCGGGUCGUAAACUCCUGUCGAGCGGGAAGAACGCUUCCCGGGUGAAUAAUCCGGGGAAUUGACGGUACCGCUAAAGGAAGCCCCGACUAACUCCGUGCCAGCAGCCGCGGUAAUACGGGGGGGGCAAGCGUUGUUCGGAAUUACUGGGCGUAAAGGGCUCGUAGGCGGCCAACUAAGUCGGAUGUGAAAUCCCCAGGCUUAACCUGGGAACUGCAUCCGAUACUGG